rnacentral:rRNA from 1 species
AAGUGCAAAUUCUACCCUGAACAUACCCAAUCUUGUCUGAUCUCAGAAGCUGAGAUGGCUCAUGUGUAUUUGGAUGGGAGACCACCUGGAAAUACCAGGUGUUGCAGGUA